GUAAACUUUAACUAUGAAUAACCUCUUGGAUUAUUAGCCGAUUGUGAUUACAUUUAUAUUAUUUGCUCACAUGCUUUGUCACUUUAGAGCCCUGAAAACCCUGUUCAUUGUUGCUAGGAGAUGGGUGGCUAUGGCAACAGUGUGGGUCAGAGCCAGAUGGAAUGCCUAAAGCAUAAUCAGGUUUAGGCUUUUUUUUGAUCUCCAAAUGACUCCAUGGCAGUCCUGAGCACGGAAGCCCCAAAUCACUGCCUCUUCAGCUUGUUUCAAAAGACUGAGUCUCACACUGUCACCCGGGCUGGAGUGCAGUAGUGUGAUCUUGGUUCACUGCAACCACCGCCUCCCAGGUUCAAGCAAUUCUUCUGCCUCAGCUUCCUGAGUAGCUGGGAUUACAGGAGCCAGCCACCACACCCAGACAUAUUCCUUGAAGGUAGAAUCACUGUCAGCAGAGUCCUUGCCAGGAACGACUUUCCAGUGAAGGAGACAAUGGAAAUUUGGACAACAUUUUGAAAACCACUAACAGUAACAACGUGUUAAUAAUAAUUAAAACAUUAAGAUGAAGAAGACAAAGAAGGAGAAAUAUGAAGGGAUUGCUAAUUGCUGGUGUUCUGCAUUUGUUUUCUUAUUUAAUCCUCAUCAUAA
rnacentral:lncRNA from 10 species